GACGUAGGGGGCGAGCGUUGUCCGGAUUUAUUGGGCGUAAAGAGCUCGUAGGCGGUUUGUCGCGUCUGCUGUGAAAUCCCAGGGCUUAACCCUGGGCCUGCAGUGGGUACGGGCAAACUAGAGUGCGGUAGGGGAGAUCGGAAUUCCUGGUGUAGCGGUGAAAUGCGCAGAUAUCAGGAGGAACACCGGUGGCGAAGGCGGAUCUCUGGGCCGUAACUGACGCUGAGGAGCGAAAGCAUGGGUAGCGAACAGG
rnacentral:rRNA from 1 species